rnacentral:lncRNA from 1 species
AGAGCUAUUAUUUGUUUCAACUAGAUCUUGAUUUUAAAGUCACUUGUAAAAUUUCAUGUAGACUAGUCAAGAAUCCUUCUACCAAAAUAAUAAUUAAUUAAGAAAUAAUUAGGUAAGAGCUACUUUUAGACUCUCUUUGACAUUAAUAUGAAGCCUUAAAAAAAAUAAGAAUAUAAUUUUCUUUGACUUACAAAUAGAAGCAAUUGUGAUUGAAUGGUUAUACCA